GUAUGGGUGGUACUGUCAUGUCACUGUACUGUACUGUAAUCCUGUCUGGGUGGUACUGUCAUGUCACUGUACUGUAAUCCUGUCUGGGUGGUACCAUCAUGUCAGUCACUGUACUGUAAUCCUGUCUGGGUGGUACUGUCAUGUCACUGUACUGUAAUCCUGUCUGAGUGAUACUGUGCUAUGUAAUUACAUUGUGGAUGUUUUGUUUUGUUCAUGGAUUUGCUAAUGACAACUCAGUUCCUUUCUGUAUUGUUGAGAAUUUGUGUUGACAAUGUCACGCCAGGUUUAUUUGUGUUGACAAUAAUGUCACGCCAGGUUUAUUUGUGGACAUUGCCACUCUAGGUUUUUUGUGUUGACAAUAAUGUCACGCCAGGUUUAUUUGUGGACAUUGCCACGCCAGGUUUAUUUGUGUUGACAAUAAUGCCACGCCAGGUAUUUUUGUGGACAUUGCCACGCCAGGUAUUUGUGUUGACAAUGUCACAUUGCCACGCCAGGUAUUUGUGUUGACAAUGUCACGCCACGUAUUUGUGUUGACAAUGUCACAUUGCCACGCCAGGUAUUUGUGUUGACAAUGUCAUAUUGCCACGCCAGGUAUUUGUGUUGACAAUGUCACAUUGCCACGCCACGUAUUUGUGUUGACAAUGCCACAUUGCCACGCCAGGUAUUUGUGUUGACAAUGUCACGCCACGUAUUUGUGUUGACAAUGUCACAUUGCCACGCCACGUAUUUGUGUUGACUGGUCAAGUCAAUGGAUUGUUCUUUGCCAUGUAAAGUGUAUAUACAGCGUCAUAUCAGAUGUUGAUUGUGUGUUACUUCUGAUGUUUUACUGUUCCAUUUGUCUUGCUUAUGCCAUCUCACCUAAGACAACAAAAUAGAUUCUUCUUUUUUUUUCCUUUUGGAUGUUGCCUUUACUCUAACCAUCCUAACUUCAGUAUACACACCUCAUUAGAUUGUACACACCUAACUAGAUUGUACACACCUCUCUAAGUACACACCUCACUAGAUUGUACACACCUCACAAGAUUGUACACACCUCACUAGAUUGUACACAUCUCACUAGAGUGUACAUAUCUCACUAGAUUGUACACACCUAAUUAGAUUCUACACCUAGCUAGAGUGUACACACCUAAUUAGAUUGUACACACUUCACUAGAUUGUAUUCCUGGGUCGGCUUUAGACCGAUGUGACCGAUGGCUCCAAAUUGGGUCCCGAGCCUGGCAGGCUCCCCAAGUUACGUUUAGCGUAUCAUUAUCUCAGGUUCUGGAUCUGGUCACAGACUUCAAGCUGUUUCCUAGGCAUGUGGGAUACUAUCUAAUUAAUAGUAAUUGUUGUCAAAAACAAAAUAGAAGAAGGACCUCGCAAGCAUCAAUUAAAUUGGUCCCCGUAAUUGGUGUGUGUGCGCCUGUGCGUGCGUGUGUGUGUGUUUAUGUUGACGCUGCUCUGACUGAAUUGACAGUACAAGAUUAAGCAACAAGAACUUGAAAAAUGCACAUUAAAAAAAAAGGUAUUUAGGCCAUAGAGACAUUUGUGCUCGACAUCCUGUCUGUUGGCGACACACUCUUGUCACCCACGCACGUUUGUUUGUCUGUUUAUUUGUCUGUGCCUUUUUCUUUCAUCACGGACUUACAUUUUUAUGUGUUUGUCUAUUUCUGCUUUCCUUUUAUGUCAUGUCGACCCUGGCUUCAAUUGUAGACCCUAGCCUGAGAGUCACAGCAUGCAGUCAGCUUGUAGUUGGCUUUGACAGUUAGCACAACACACAAUUUUGUUGAUCCGAUGUUGACAAAUAUAGAUUUGUGCCAGAUAUUUUUGAGAUAAACAUUUUUGUUUGCAUGUUUGAAAAAAAGGACACAUUUUAAAAGUCUUUCAAAGUAUUUUUUAAAAACUUACUUUGUACUUUGAAAUGUGAGUGAUUUCGUCCUAUCGCUUGCAAGUUCCCCCCCUCCCUCCUCGUGCUCUAACUAUAAGAGGAACCAGAGACAAUUACGUUGACUGAACAGUUGAUUGCGCCAAGGUUAAGGUUAAAGUUAUAGGUUAGGGUGAGGGUUAAGGAUUUAGUCUACGUUAGAGGUAAGAUUUAUACGCUUGAAAACCAAUAUAUGUACUAUGAAAUGCACAUUUCGCUGGCAGCAUGUAGACAAGUCACAAAGAAGUCCAGGAGAUAUAGGUCAAUGUCUGGUUCUACCCCUGCUGUUUAGCCUUGAACUUUAUUGACCUACGUCUCAAGUAUAUCAUUUUUUUUUCUCACUUGGUUUGAGGUCGAAAACAUUUCUCUUAGACUCUUGGAGUUGCCUGAUCCCAAAAAUUCCGCUCGUUUUUUAAACCCAAAUUAAAAAAAAAUCAUUUCUAGAACAAAUUUUGUGCGUUUUGUGUCUUGUCAAGAUGUAUCUAGGUCUAGGACUUUCCGCUCGUACUCCGUAAAAAGACAACUGAAGCUUAAAUGUCCCACCUCUUCUUUCAAGACUGCCAUCCCCUCCGCCGCCAGGACGCUCCACCUCCUCAAUCUCAGCUAGUUUUUUUUUUUUUAAAGUAAAUUCUAAAAGUUGGGUAGAUCGACCAAGUUUGUUUACAUCUAUUCAAGGAGAUCAUGUGACGCCACUGCGCGGAGGGUGGGGACAGACUUGACGUACAAGAGCAGAUAAUGAGUAGCCUCGACCCGCACUUCUAGUCUGCAUGAGAGGGGGAAAGUUAUCUCCCAUGUAUGUGCAGCGACGUGUUAGGGAGAACAAUACAACCCAUUACGUACGGGGAUUUUCACUAGUAUUGACAUUCACUGCGGAAUAUCUCCUGUUCCACUAUAGGUCCUCCUCCCACCCAGCCCCAUCUCUUCACACUAAAGACUUCUUGGGUGCACCCGAAAUGAGAGUUAACAACGUGGGUGUGGGGUUAAUCUCUUUGCACGGAUUAGUUCAACCACAGUUUGAGAAUCGUCCUCCAACAUUCCGUCUGUUCUAGUUUCAUAGAAAAUAUUGACACGACUAGUUGUGCAAGCUGCUUGUCAACUCGUAUUUUUUUAUGUAGGUGUGUGUGUUGUGGAAUUUUCGCGGCUUUUAAUUCAGACGUUUGGGUAACAUGAGCGCCAGGGACGACACCCCAACAGCGACACCCCAACAGCGCUAGCGUGACGCUGCAUUGUGGAGAUAGAUGCAUCGCCGCUAUCUUGUCACUCGUGACGCGACCGCGUCAGGUUUAAGGGGAGCUUCAGAAGCGAAUCCUCACUGAGGCUCUGGACUGACGUAGAGGUUUAGCAGUCAGAACCAUUGGGGAACUUUUAAAACAAACAGAAGUUUUGGAUCAAGUCGGGAGGGUUAAGAAUAAUAUUUAGACUACCACAUUUUUUUCUUUACAGCUUAAUGUUUCUGGAGGCGGUCAGUAAUCCCCUUUCCCUCCUCUGAAUUCAUGGACUGACGCCUCUGGAAGAUGUUCAGCCAGGCGAAUAGAUGCUUUGAUAAGUGAAGUGGAAUUUUUAUGGGGAAGAACAUUUUUCUUUUUGUUAGCAGGAAUUUUUAUUUCAUUCGUGCUGGUUUGAAUUGUCUGGCUGGACUGGCUUAAUGGUCGCCUGCUGACAUAGUGCUGGAUCACUUAACACAGUGGCGGCUUACUUACUCAGUGGCGGCUUACUUACUCAGUGGUGGCUUACUUACUCAGUGGCGGCUUGAUGAAUAUUUAAAACACACUUAAUCUAAGAUCAAGUUGGGAGAGAGAUAUACAACUGAGCGGACCUUUUAGGCUUUGUAAUCUUUGUUCAAUCUAGUAGUCCAUUGUAUUUAUCUUCUUAAGUUUACGGAUUCUUAUAGGGAAGAUAAAUUAGUCAAUCGAUCUAUAAAUAAAUCAAUUCAACGUUCCAUAUUUCAUCCAAUAAUUACAACGAUCAAGCCAUUUAGAAAUCAAAGCCACAUAUUUACUUAUUCAAAGGACCCAUCCAUCCACCUAUCAAACAGCCAAUCUAAGUGAUCCACCGAUCAAACAGCUAAUCCAUCAAUCAAACAGCUAAUCCACCAAUCAAAGAGCCAAUCAAAC
rnacentral:sRNA from 1 species